AUGCCGCAGUGGGCUUGAAUCUCCUUAAAGAAAGCGAGAUAUUUGCGCCUCAGUCAAAAAGAAGAUUAUUUUAUUUUCUUCACUUUUGUUCAUUUUAUUUUCAACUGUAAUGAUUAUUGUAAUUUGUGGUAUAUUACAUCAACAAUUUUAAGGAGAUUCAUGUUUUGUUACAGUUUCAAAAAUCUCGGAUAUCGAGAUGAGAGAUCUCAAAAGAUGGAUGGCAAGAGAUAACAAGUAAAGUAUCUUUCUACUUGCUCAACUCAAGGGGAUGAAAGGUAAAAAACUUUUCUGCUUGUUGCGGAGAAAAGAUUCAAAACUAAGGCUUAGCAAGAAAAUGGUCUGAAUCACAUCGAGGGGAAGGAAAGAAGCCUAUAAAAAAAAAUCUAAGUCAUAUAUGAGGAAAUCCAACCUAGGGACUAGAGAUCCUAUAACCAGGUUCAAUGGGAAAAAUGAAUCAUAUGAUGACUUGUUGUGAAUGCACUAUUAUUUUAUCCCUCCUUAUGAUGUGAGUGCAUUGUUCCUGUAAUGAUUUGUGAAGGCUGAGUCAAAGGACUCUUAAUGAAAUUUUGUAUCUCGUAUGAGUGGGGUGUCGAAAUUACAGGACCACCCUUGACGGAUUUCACCUAUGUGAGUGUGGAGGUAGGCCGCUUCCUAUGAGAAUGGGAUUUAUUCUCAAAAAUGCUGAUGAAAAAUUGGGAUAGCACAUGGCCUUAAGGUGUUGGAUAUUAAAGCUUAUGCCAAUACCUUGAAUAUUGUGUGUAGGCAGUGAUACUUUAUUUCCCCUAAGCAGUCAUAGUUCAAGGCUGAGACCGCUACUGACUCUGGAGUAAAGUUACUAUUUUACUAAUUGGGGGUUCAAUGUAGAGCACACCUUCAUUAUGCAUAAUAGUCUACCUUUAACUAAUUUGGUGAAA